UUCGUGGGUAAAUUAACAUCAGUUACGAAAAAAGAAGAUUGCAGAAAACAUGGGAUGCUGAAUCAUUUCACAUUUAAGCAAAGAUGUUCAUAGCUGCAGAGUCGAAGAACCUUAUCAUGUACAGAUGUCAGUCGGGAAAAGGCGAUUUUCGCCGACAAGAUUUUAUAAUUUAUAUACCGAUGAACUUGUUGUUUAUAUAUAAGCAUAAAUCGAAAGCUUUUUCGGAAUCAAUAAACAUGGCGUUGGACCGAACAUAUCAAUUAUAUUGGUCGCUAUACCGAAACCGACAAUAAAUUAAGUGUGCGUUGAAUUAAAUCCAAUUUCCAAGUACAGUUUGGUGAUAAAUAUUGCUCUCUGUAUAAAGUCGGUUUAAUUAACAUAUAUUCGUUUCGUGCAUGAUGCAUGUUUUCUCGGGAACUAAAAUGCGGAAGUACAAAGACUAGGAACUCGUGGUUUAACGAGCCUUUUCCUGUAUCAGUUUCCACAAUCAGCAGCAGAAUGUCGUGGCUAGUUCAUCGCUGGUUACUGUUAUAUGGUAC